rnacentral:rRNA from 1 species
UACGUAGGGCGCGAGCGUUGUCCGGAAUUAUUGGGCGUAAAGAGCUCGUAGGCGGCUUGUCACGUCGGUUGUGAAAGCCCGGGGCUUAACCCCGGGUCUGCAGUCGAUACGGGCAGGCUAGAGUUCGGUAGGGGAGAUCGGAAUUCCAGGUGUAGCGGUGAAAUGCGUAGAUAUCUGGAGGAACACCGGUGGCGAAGGCGGCUCUCUGGGACGGUACUGACGCUGAGACGCGAAAGCGUGGGGAGCGAACAGG